rnacentral:rRNA from 1 species
UACGGGGGGAGCAAGCGUUGUUCGGAUUUACUGGGCGUAAAGGGCGCGUAGGCGGUCAGCACAAGUCAGUUGUGAAAUCUCCGGGCUUAACUCGGAAAGGUCAACUGAUACUGUGCGACUAGAGUGCAGAAGGGGCAACUGGAAUUCUCGGUGUAGCGGUGAAAUUCGUAGAUAUUCGCAAGAACACCAGUGGCGAAGGCGGCUCACUGGCCCGAUACUGACGCUGAGGUGCGAAAGCGUGGGGAGCAAACAGG